GACAGUGUGGUGUAGUGGUUUGAGCAUUAGACUGACUUUGGAGACCAGGGUUCAAAUCCCAGCUUGGCCA